rnacentral:rRNA from 1 species
UACGUAGGGGGCAAGCGUUGUCCGGAAUCAUUGGGCGUAAAGCGUGCGCAGGCGGUUUUGUAAGCCAGAUGUGAAAUCCCCGGGCUUAACCUGGGAAUGGCAUUUGGGACUGCAAGGCUCGAGUGCGGCAGAGGAGACUGGAAUUCCUGGUGUAGCAGUGAAAUGCGUAGAUAUCAGGAGGAAUACCGAUGGCGAAGGCAGGUCUCUGGGCUGACACUGACGCUCAUGCACGAAAGCGUGGGGAGCAAACAGG